rnacentral:rRNA from 1 species
GAUGAACGCUGGCGGCGUGCCUAAUACAUGCAAGUCGAGCGAAUGGAUUAAGAGCUUGCUCUUAUGAAGUUAGCGGCGGACGGGUGAGUCACACGUGGGUAACCUGCCCAUAAGACUGGGAUAACUCCGGGAAACCCGGGACAAUACCGGAUAACAUUUUGAACCGCAUGGGUCGAAAUUGAAAGGCGGCUUCGGCUGUCACUUAUGGAUCGACCCGCGUCGCAUUAGCUAGUUGGUGAGGUAACGGCACACCAAGGCAACGAUGCGUAGCCGACCUGAGAGGGGGAUCGGCCACACUGGGACUGAGACACGGCCCAGACUCCUACGGGAGGCAGCAGUAGGGAAUCUUCCGCAAUGGACGAAAGUCUGACGGAGCAACGCCGCGUGAGUGAUGAAGGCUUUCGGGUCGUAAAACUCUGUUGUUAGGGAAGAACAAGUGCUAGUUGAAUAAGCUGGCACCUUGACGGUACCUAACCAGAAAGCCACGGCUAACUACGUGCCAGCCGCCGCAGUAA